rnacentral:rRNA from 1 species
UAUCUCUGUAGAGUCUGCAUAUCAAUAAGCGGAGGAAAAGAAACUAACUAGGAUUCCCUUAGUAACGGCGAGUGAAGCGGGAAGAGCUCAAAUUUGAAAUCUUCAAGGUUUUACCUUGACGAAUUGUAGUUUAAAGAAGUGUUUUCUGUUGGUGUUUUGGUAAAAGUUCUUUGGAAUAGGACAUCAUAGAGGGUGAGAAUCCCGUAUUUGACCAUUACUUCCAGCGUUGUGAUACACUUUCAAAGAGUCGGAUUGUUUGGGAAUGCAGUCCAAAAUGGGUGGUAAAUUUCAUCUAAAGCUAAAUAUUGGCGAGAGACCGAUAGCGAACAAGUACCGUGAGGGAAAGAUGAAGAGAACUUUGAAAAGAGAGUUAAACAGUACGUGAAAUUGUCAAAAGGGAAGCGUUUGACACCAGUGUUGGUUUCCUCGAAAAUCAAUUAAAAAGUGUCUGGAUUUUGUAUUGUAAUUGACCUUUAUCAGCUUUACUGCUACUUUUUUCCUUGCUCUUUUUAAUGCACUUUUCGUUUAACAAGUCAACAUCAAUUUCUUUUGUUGUAAAAGAGUCAUUGGAAGGUGGCUUUCACUUCGGUGAAAGUGUUUAUAGCCUUUGACUUCUGCAAUCGGAGAGAUUGAGGUCUGCAGCGUAGAUCCUUCGGGGUUAGAUACAUUUGUGCUAAGUUAUAGUUUUUCAUAGACAACAUGUUGACUAUGAUUAAUCAUGUAGCUUACUCGCUUAUGCUAUUUUACCUACGCUUAGGAUGUUGAAUCUGUGCGAGACUAC